ACGAUGUCAUGGCACAGUAGGCACAGUGGUUUUUAAAUUACGAGGCACACACAUUGUUUAGCGAGGUACGCUGCGCAAUACCAGACACGAUGUCAUGGCACAGUAGGCACAGUGGUUUUUAAACUACGAGGUACACACAUUGUUUAGCGAGGUACGCUGCACAAUACCAGACACGAUGUCAUGCCACAGUAGGCACAGUGGUUUUUAAACUACGAGGUACACACAUUGUUUAGCGAAGUACGCUGCACAAUACCAGAUACGAUGUCAUGGCACAGUAGGCACAGUGGUUUUUAAACUACGAGGUACACACAUUGUUUAGCGAGGUACGCUGCACAAUACCAGAUACGAUGUCAUGGCACAGUAGGCACAGUGGUUUUUAAACUACGAGGUACACACAUUGUUUAGCGAGGUACGCUGCACAAUACCAGAUACGAUGUCAUGGCACAGUAGGCACAGUGGUUUUUAAACUACGAGGUACACACAUUGUUUAGCGAGGUACGCUGCACAAUACCAGACACGAUGUCAUGCCACAGUAGGCACAGUGGUUAUUAAACUACGAGGUACACACAUUGUUUAGCGAAGUACGCUGCACAAUACCAGACAUGAUCUCAUGGCACAGUGGUUUUUAAACUACGAGGUACACACAUUGUUUAGCGAGGUACCUUGCACAAUACCAGACACGAUGUCAUGGCACAGUAGGCACAGUGGUUUUUAAACUACGAGGUACAUACAUUGAGUAGCGAGGUACGCUACAUAUUACCAUGCACGCUGUCUUAGUACAGUUGGCACAGCGGUUCUUACACUACGAGAUACAGCUGCAGCGGAAAAAGAUUAGCGCAAGUGACCGAUGACAUGAGCAGGGAAAUUGCGGUGCGCGGCGCUGUUGUUCUCGUGCACACUGGUAUCUAAAGUGCCAUAUGAUCAUGUUUCAUAGAGGGGGCGCCUGGCACUCUCGUUCUCCGCGUGCUAUAGGACACAACAGCGUCGCGUGCGGCAAUUUAUCUGAUCGGGUGAUCGGUCGCUUGUGCUAAUCUUUUCCCGCUGCAGCUGUACAUGCAUUGUGUAGCGAGGAACGCUACACAAUACCAGGCACGCUGUCAUGGCAUA